GUAGCAUAAUAAUUUGUGUUUUAAAUGGACACUUGUAUAAACGGUUUAACAUUGUUAAUUUUUCUUUUUUUUAAAAAAUGAAUUUAGAGUAAAAGUAAAAAUACUUUUGUUUUCUAGAGAGACGAUAAGACCCUAAAAGCUUUAUUUACUAACCUAUUUUUUAUAUCAGAAAAGGUUUUAUAGUUUUAACUGGGGUAGUUAUGUUUUUUUAAAUUAAAAAAUAACUGAUUAAGGUUGAAUGACCCUUUUAAUAAAGGUUUUUGUUUUAGUUACUUUAGGGAUAACAGCGUUAUAAAAUUAAAGAGACCUUAUCUCCAAUUUUGAUUGCGACCUCGAUGUUGAAUUAACAAAUCCGCGAGAGGCAGUUCUCACGAAGGAGGGUUUGUUCAACCCUUAAUUUGUU
rnacentral:rRNA from 1 species